rnacentral:rRNA from 1 species
GACGAACGCUGGCGGCGUGCUUAACACAUGCAAGUCGAACGGAAAGGCCCUGCUUUUGUGGGGUGCUCGAGUGGCGAACGGGUGAGUAACACGUGAGUAACCUGCCCUUGACUUUGGGAUAACUUCAGGAAACUGGGGCUAAUACCGGAUAGGAGCUCCUGCUGCAUGGUGGUGGUUGGAAAGUUUCGGCGGUUGGGGAUGGACUCGCGGCUUAUCAGCUUGUUGGUGGGGUAGUGGCUUACCAAGGCUUUGACGGGUAGCCGGCCUGAGAGGGUGACCGGCCACAUUGGGACUGAGAUACGGCCCAGACUCCUACGGGAGGCAGCAGUGGGGAAUAUUGCACAAUGGGCGGAAGCCUGAUGCAGCAACGCCGCGUGCUGGAUGACGGCCUUCGGGUUGUAAACCGCUUUCGCCUGUGACGAAGCGUGAGUGACGGUAAUGGGUAAAGAAGCACCGACUAACUACGUG